GGCUGAGUGGAAAGAUGGUGGUCCUGCAGAACAUGUGCUGAACCUGUGCCAUAUGUCUGCCGACCAUCACCUUUAGGAGCCC
ensembl:miRNA microRNA 654